ACACAUGCAAGUCGAACGGUAACAUUUCUAGCUUACUAGAAGAUGACGAGUGGCGGACGGGUGAGUAAUGCUUGGGAACUUGCCUUUGCGAGGGGGAUAACAGUUGGAAACGACUGCUAAUACCGCAUAAUGUCUUCAGACCAAACGGGGCUUCGGCUCCGGCGCAAAGAGAGGCCCAAGUGAGAUUAGCUAGUUGGUAAGGUAACGGCUUACCAAGGCGACGAUCUCUAGCUGUUCUGAGAGGAAGAUCAGCCACACUGGGACUGAGACACGGCCCAGACUCCUACGGGAGGCAGCAGUGGGGAAUAUUGCACAAUGGGGGAAACCCUGAUGCAGCCAUGCCGCGUGUGUGAAGAAGGCCUUCGGGUUGUAAAGCACUUUCAGUUGUGAGGAAAAGUUAGUAGUUAAUACCUGCUAACCGUGACGUUGACAACAGAAGAAGCACCGGCUAACUCCGUGCCAGCAGCCGCGGUAAUACGGAGGGUGCGAGCGUUAAUCGGAAUUACUGGGCGUAGAGCGCACGCAGGCGGUUUGUUAAGCUAAAUGUGAAAGCCCCGGGCUCAACCUGCGAUGGUCAUUUAGAACUGGCAGACUAAAGUCUUGGAGAG
rnacentral:rRNA from 1 species